rnacentral:tRNA from 1 species
UGCGGGCUGCGGAGCGCGGCGACCGCGCCGGUGCGGCCGGUGGCGACGACGGCGGCGCGGUACGGGUGCUCGGCCCGCCCGGCCCGCAG